GAUGAACGCUGGCGGCGUGCUUAACACAUGCAAGUCGAACGAUGAAGCCCAGCUUGCUGGGUGGAUUAGUGGCGAACGGGUGAGUAACACGUGAGUAACCUGCCCUUAACUCUGGGAUAAGCCUGGGAAACUGGGUCUAAUACCGGAUAGGAGCGCCUACCGCAUGGUGGGUGUUGGAAAGAUUUAUCGGUUUUGGAUGGACUCGCGGCCUAUCAGCUUGUUGGUGAGGUAAUGGCUCACCAAGGCGACGACGGGUAGCCGGCCUGAGAGGGUGACCGGCCACACUGGGACUGAGACACGGCCCAGACUCCUACGGGAGGCAGCAGUGGGGAAUAUUGCACAAUGGGCGAAAGCCUGAUGCAGCGACGCCGCGUGAGGGAUGACGGCCUUCGGGUUGUAAACCUCUUUCAGUAGGGAAGAAGCGAAAGUGACGGUACCUGCAGAAGAAGCACCGGCUAACUACGG
rnacentral:rRNA from 1 species